rnacentral:miRNA from 1 species
GUCACUGCUUCUCGCUCUGGGAAAAUGGCGGCGACGGCGGCGGCGGCGGCGGCGGCGGCGGCAGCGGC